rnacentral:rRNA from 1 species
AUGGCUGGAAAUAUGAAGCGAGAAGGCGUUUGCACGAGAAGCCAGACCAAAAAGCAGAAAGCUUGGACAGCUUGGCGAGGAAAUUCGCUUCUGGACAAUCCGUUUGAAGAGGAAUUUGGCAGCUUAAGUGAUUCUGGCCAAGGUGUCUGGACGGAACUCAGUAAAGAAGUCGCCUCAAACUUAGCGGGCACUGUUGUAUCGCUUGCUUCAUUUGCUGAUGAAAAGACAGUGUUUUUUGCAUGCACGGGCAUAAUUAUCGUAAACAAGCCUACUUUUACAAGUUGUCUGACUUCAUUAAGUUUGGUUAGAUCUAUUGAUGAUGACACCAAGAUCCUUCACGAUAUGACGAUUGAAGUGCGCCUUCCGGAUAAUAAACUUGAACUGGGAUGGUUGGAAUCCUACGAUUUGAAAUACAAUGUUGCGGUUAUCAACAUCGGUCGCUACCAUUCUCUUCAAGUAACAUGUCUAGAUCAUCAGCGGCAAUUUGAGUCUCACAGUAAAGUAGUUGCCGUAGGGCGUUGCUUCAACUCAGGAAAACUAGUGGCCACAGCUGGGAUGUUGACCGACAAUCCACAAGGAGCUUACCGGGAGGAGCUUGCCAUCUCCACAUGUGAAAUUACUAUGACUGGAGUUGGAGGGCCCCUUGUUGAUUUUAAUGGGGACUUCAUCGGGAUGAACUUUUAUGCUGAGAAAGAGACUCCAUUCCUACCAAGGAUUAAAAUUCUUGAACUCCUGUCGCAGUUCAGGAAAACAAUUCAGUGGAUGUAUGUCCUCCAUACUCACUCAUUGCUUUUCUACUCUUGUCCUCCAUACUCACUUAUUAGUUUUUGUGCACAUGGGUCACACAUGCUUAGAAAAAUAAAUAAUGGUGGAAAGCUUAAUCAAGAGUGCACUUAA